rnacentral:rRNA from 1 species
GACGUAGGGCGCGAGCGUUGUCCGGAUUUAUUGGGCGUAAAGAGCUCGUAGGCGGCUUGUUACGUCGUUCGUGAAAACUUGGGGCUCAACCCCCAAGCUUGCGGUCGAUACGGGCAGGCUAGAGUUCGGUAGGGGAGACUGGAAUUCCUGGUGUAGCGGUGAAAUGCGCAGAUAUCAGGAGGAACACCGGUGGCGAAGGCGGGUCUCUGGGCAACAACUGACGCUGAGGAGCGAAAGCGUGGGGAGCGAACAGG